UCUUUUCUUUGCAAGUGGUAAGAGGAGAGGGAGAGAAGCCCAGGAACCAUCCCUCCCACACGGCUAAGGAGGGAAAGCAGGACUCCAUAGUCCCUGGCUCCUCCUGGCAGAAUUUAUAGUCCGCAGCCUGCAAAUUACUGGAGGGAACAUGGAAACCUGGGUAAUGAUGUGGGAGAGAACAUUCUCCAGUGCUGACGUGGGUUUCCCUGCGCCAGAGAACCAGAGAUGGGGUAAUUGAAGCUCAUGCUCCGAACAGUUAUAGCAAAGGAGAAACCACAGAGCUUGCAGGAAGAAGAGGCCAUGUGAGUAGAGAGUGAGAACUCGGCUGCCUAUGAGCCCAUACGAAGAAGCCUCAGGAUGAAAGCUACCUGACCAACACCUUGAUUUUGGACUCUUCUAGAACAUGGGAAAUAAAUUUUUGUUGUUUUAUAA
rnacentral:lncRNA from 10 species